AACGAACGCUGGCGGCACGUUUUAAGCAUGCAAGUCGAAUGGCAGCAGGGGCAACUCUGUGAGAAUGGCGAACGGGUGAGUAACACGUAGGUGAUCUGCCUUGAGGAUGGGGAUAGCCUGUGGAAACACAGGGUAAUACCGAAUAAGCUGACGGGACUUUGGUUUUGUUAGUAAAGGUGCUACGGCACCGCCUUGAGAGGAGCCUGCGGCUGAUUAGCUAGUUGGUGGGGUAAAGGCCUACCAAGGCGACGAUCAGUAGCCGGCCUGAGAGGGUGUACGGCCAGACUGGGACUGAGACACGGCCCAGACUCCUACAGGAGGCAGCAGCUAAGAAUCUUCCGCAAUGGGCGAAAGCCUGACGGAGCGAUGCCGCGUGAUCGAUGAAGGUCGAGAGAUUGUAAAGAUCUUUUCUGCAUGAGGAAUAAGUCUGGGAGGGAAUGCCUGGAUGAUGACGUUAGUGUAGGAAUAAGCCCCGGCUAAUUACGUGCCAGCCGCCGCAGUAA
rnacentral:rRNA from 1 species